AGCGAACGCUGGCGGCAGGCUUAACACAUGCAAGUCGAGCGCCCCGCAAGGGGAGCGGCAGACGGGUGAGUAACACGUGGGAACGUGCCUUUUGGUUCGGAACAACCCAGGGAAACUUGGGCUAAUACCGGAUAAGCCCUUACGGGGAAAGAUUUAUCGCCAAAAGAUCGGCCCGCGUCUGAUUAGCUAGCUGGUGGGGUAAUGGCCCACCAAGGCUGCGAUCAGUAGCUGGUCUGAGAGGAUGAUCAGCCACAUUGGGACUGAGACACGGCCCAAACUCCUACGGGAGGCAGCAGUGGGGAAUAUUGGACAAUGGGGGCAACCCUGAUCCAGCCAUGCCGCGUGAGUGAUGAAGGCCUUAGGGUUGUAAAGCUCUUUUAGCAGGGAAGAUAAUGGCGGUACCUGCAGAAAAAGCCCCGGCUAACUUCGUGCCAGCCGCCGCCGUAA
rnacentral:rRNA from 1 species